GGGGGCGAUCGGUUUCGACUGGGAGUUUCCCCGUGCUGGGUUGCGUGCCGAGGUUGCGGAGAUGGCCUCGUUAAACCCUCCGCAAGGCAUCAACUGCCGAUAACAACUACGCACUCGCUGCUUAAGUAGCGCGUCCUUCAGGUCCUCGCCCGCUGGGCCUGGGGGGCGACUGAUCGCGGGCUGGCCAAAGUUCCCUGGCCCGGGGAGCGGAGGUGAGAUUCAAGGGGCUGGCUUUCGUCCUCGUCGGUCCGCGGCCCGGGGCGCAAGCGAGAUCUGAACACGGACUACGCACGUAGACGCCCUGUACAGGCCUUCGCAGGACGCGGGUUCGAUUCCCGCCGCCUCCACCA
rnacentral:tmRNA from 1 species